UCCCUGGUGGUCCAGUGGUUAGGACUUGGCAUUUUCACUGCCAGGGCCUGGGUUCAAUCCCUAGUCAGGGAA